CCUACGGGUGGCAGCAGUGGGGAAUAUUGCACAAUGGGGGAAACCCUGAUGCAGCGACGCCGCGUGAGUGAAGAAGUAAUUCGUUAUGUAAAGCUCUAUCAGCAGGGAAGAAAAUGACGGUACCUGUGCCAGAAGCCCCGGCUAACUACGUGCCAGUAGCCGCGGUAACAAGUAUGGGGCAAGCGUUAUCCGGAUUUACUGGGUGUAAAGGGAGCGUAGACGGGGUGGCAAGUCUGGAGUGAAAUGCCGCGGCUCAACUGCGGAACUGCAUUGGAAACUGGCGGACUAGAGUGCGGGAGGGGUAAGCGGAAUUCCUGGUGUAGCGGUGAAAUGCGUAGAUAUUAGGAGGAACACCAGUGGCGAAGGCGGCUUACUGGACCGUAACUGACGUUGAGGCUCGAAGGCGUGGGGAGCAAACAGGAUUAGAUACCCCAGUAGUC
rnacentral:rRNA from 1 species